CAACCCUCCAAAAAUAGG
rnacentral:snRNA from 1 species